rnacentral:rRNA from 1 species
ACAGUUGGCUUAGAAACAGCCAUCGAUUAAUGAAAACGUAAUAGUUCAAAUAAUUAGCUCAAAAAUUCUUAAAAUUUAAGAUUUUAAGUUCGUCGAAGCAGCGAGUUUUGGUAGUGGAGCAUUUUGUAAAAAAAAAUAGCUGUGAAGCAAAAUCAAAAAAGCUACUGUGAAAAUUAGUAACAUUUAAAAUUGUUAAUAAUUCGUUUUUAAUCUAAGCUUUUUUAUUUCUGUUUUGAGUUUAUUCGAACCUUAAGUUUAAAAUGAAAGUUUUUGGCGAUAGGUAUAAAU